rnacentral:lncRNA from 1 species
UUUUCUCCCAGUCUCUAUGCACAGACCAAGAAAAACUUCCCUUAAAACAUCUGAAAGGCAGGGGGCGAUUUUGUUGUGUCAGAAAACUGAACAAAUCUCAAACUAUUUUGAAACGUCCCUUGUGGUUAUAGCAGACUACAAAUGUGGAGGUAAAUCUGUGAAGAUCUGAAGAGGGUUAGGGUCGAGAUCUCAUGUUAAGGAGAUCGACACACAAUGCCUCCUGAAGCUUACCCUUCCAUCUAUAAGGAGGCCACAUUGUGUGGACUUGUUCUGUGGUCCUUGAGGGAAUGAUUUUGAACAGCUGGGUAGAGAAGCAAGAGCAAAUCACUCCAGAUGACAACAUUAACAGAGGAACCACAGGCACAGUUGGAUUUCAUGGGAUGUUGUUUUGGUUAGAAGAAGCAAUGUGUGAAUGGCACCUGUCAGUUUGUUUGAACAUCCAAAUUCCAUACCUGGCUGGUUGGGAUGGCAAAUCAGUUGUCAUUGAAGUUCAGGCAGUGAGAGCCGGAAUAAUGAGAGACCAUUCAGAUGCUACACUCUUUUGUAUAGCCCACCACCUGGGAUGAGAGGCCAGACAGUACAAUGCAUCAGCUCACCAGGCAUGGAAGGGAUGAGACUCUCCUGAUAGUAAGGUGCAGAGAUCCUGCUGCAGGAAAGACCAGGAGCACUCUGAAGGGAGAGGAACUUUUUGCCAGGGAGGAAAAUAAAGAAACAAGAAGUGUUGCUACA